rnacentral:rRNA from 1 species
AGCGAACGCUGGCGGCAGGCCUAACACAUGCAAGUCGAACGGAUCCUUCGGGAUUAGUGGCGGACGGGUGAGUAACACGUGGGAACGUGCCCUUGGGUUCGGAACAACUCAGGGAAACUUGAGCUAAUACCGGAAGUGCCCUUCGGGGGAAAGAUUUAUCGGCAUUGGAGCGGCCCGCGUCUGAUUAGCUAGUUGGUGAGGUAAAGGCUCACCAAGGCGACGAUCAGUAGCUGGUCUGAGAGGAUGAUCAGCCACAUUGGGACUGAGACACGGCCCAAACUCCUACGGGAGGCAGCAGUGGGGAAUCUUGCGCAAUGGGCGAAAGCCUGACGCAGCCAUGCCGCGUGAAUGAUGAAGGUCUUAGGAUUGUAAAAUUCUUUCACCGGGGACGAUAAUGACGGUACCCGGAGAAGAAGCCCCGGCUAACUUCGUGCCAGCCGCCGCGGUAA